GUGAGGUACGCGUCCUUGAGGUCCAAUUUGACCAUCCAAUCUCCCUGUUGUAAUAAAUCCCUGAGGCAAUGAAUGCCUUCCAUUUUGAAGUGUUGGUAUGCGAGGAACGCAUUGAGUUCCUUUAAGUUUAUGACUGGCCGCAUACCUCCGCCUUUUUUGGUUACCAAAAAUAGGUUGCUGGUAAAACCUGGGGUAUCGUAUGGGAUCUCUUGGAUUGCCCGUUUGGUAUGGAGGUCUGUAAUCUCCUUUGUUAGGAGUUUGGUUUGGUCUGGGGCCAAUGUCAGUUCUCUUGGGACAUGGAUUUGAAAUGGGGUAGAUAUAAGGUCGAGAUAGAAACCUCUGACAGUCUGUAACACCCAAGUGUCUUUUGUGAGCUCGUCCCAUGCAUGCGCAAACAGCGCAAGCCUGCCC